CGAGUGAAGCGGCAACAGCUCAAAUUUGAAAUCUGGCGUCUUUGGCGUCCGAGUUGUAAUUUGCAGAGGGCGCUUUGGCAUUGGCAGCGGUCCAAGUUCCUUGGAACAGGACGUCACAGAGGGUGAGAAUCCCGUACGUGGUCGCUAGCCUUUACCGUGUAAAGCCCCUUCGACGAGUCGAGUUGUUUGGGAAUGCAGCUCUAAAUGGGAGGUAAAUUUCUUCUAAAGCUAAAUACUGGCCAGAGACCGAUAGCGCACAAGUAGAGUGAUCGAAAGAUGAAAAGCACUUUGGAAAGAGAGUUAAAAAGCACGUGAAAUUGUUGAAAGGGAAGCGCUUGCAGCCAGACUUGCCUGUAGUUGCUCAUCUAGGUUUCUACCUAGUGCACUCUUCUACGGGCAGGCCAGCAUCAGUUUGGGCGGUUGGAUAAAGGUCUCUGUCAUGUACCUCUCUUCGGGGAGAACUUAUAGGGGAGACGACAUGCAACCAGCCUGGACUGAGGUCCGCGCAUCUGCUAGGAUGCUGGCGUAAUGGCUGUAAGCGGCCCGUCUUGAAACACGGACCAAGGAGUCUAACAUCUAUGCGAGUGUUUGGGUGUCAAGCCCGAGCGCGUAAUGAAAGUGAACGGAGGUGGGAACCUUUCGGGGUGCACCAUCGACCGAUCCUGAUGUCUUCGGAUGGAUUUGAGUAAGAGCAUAGCUGUUGGGACCCGAAAGAUGGUGAACUAUGCUUGAAUAGGGUGAAGCCAGAGGAAACUCUGGUGGAGGCUCGCAGCGGUUCUGACGUGCAAAUCGAUCGUCAAAUUUGGGCAUAGGGGCGAAAGACUAAUCGAACUAUCUAGUAGCUGGUUCCUGCCGAAGUUUCCCUCAGGAUAGCAGUAACGUUUUCAGUUUUAUGAGGUAAAGCGAAUGAUUAGAGGCCUGGGGGUUGAAACAACCUU
rnacentral:rRNA from 2 species